UACGGAGGGGGCAAGCGUUGUUCGGAAUUACUGGGCGUAAAGAGCGCGCAGGCGGUCGUUCAAGUCGAGUGUGAAAGCCCCCGGCUCAACUGGGGAGGGUCACUCGAUACUGAUCGACUUGAAGGCAGGAGAGGGAAGCGGAAUUCCCGGUGUAGUGGUGAAAUGCGUAGAUAUCGGGAGGAACAUCAGUGGCGAAGGCGGCCUGCUGGGCUGUUGCUGACGCUGAGGCGCGACAGCGUGGGGAGCAAACAGG
rnacentral:rRNA from 1 species